GAUGAACGCUGGCGGCGUGCCUAAUACAUGCAAGUCGAGCGAACGGACGAGAAGCUUGCUUUUCUGAUGUUAGCGGCGGACGGGUGAGUAACACGUGGAUAACCUCCCUAUAAGACUGGGAUAACUUCGGGAAACCGGAUCUAAUACCGGAUAAUAUUUUGAACCGCAUGGUUCAAAAGUGAAAGACGGUCUUGCUGUCACUUAUAGAUGGAUCCGCGCUGCAUUAGCUAGUUGGUAAGGUAACGGCUUACCAAGGCAACGAUGCAUAGCCGACCUGAGAGGGUGAUCGGCCACACUGGAACUGAGACACGGUCCAGACUCCUACGGGAGGCAGCAGUAGGGAAUCUUCCGCAAUGGGCGAAAGCCUGACGGAGCAACGCCGCGUGAGUGAUGAAGGUCUUCGGAUCGUAAAACUCUGUUAUUAGGGAAGAACAUAUGUGUAAGUAACUGUGCACAUCUUGACGGUAACUAAUCAGAAAGCCACGGCUAACUACGUG
rnacentral:rRNA from 1 species